GAUCGUUGUUGAUGAAGUACUAUCGACUGAUAGCGACAUGGUCUCAUCGGUUGAUGGCUAGAGCAAUCAUUCGACAAAAUGAAGAGACAAUCGAUCGUUGGAUCUGAAGUGUUGUCGAUCGAUAUCGAGGAGAGGAAUCGUCUACUCGGUUUUUUUCUUUCUAAAUAGCUAAGUAAAACACAAUAUUAGUAUAACCUCCCCCAGACUUAAACAACAUUGUGAUCAGUGUUAUACAGUCUAAAAUUGUUGUGAAAAUAAAUCAUAAGGACAAUAUUAACAAGGUUUCGAGAGUAUACCUGCCAUUGAUGUGGGUAUCGAUCAAAACAGUUACGUGGCGAUCGAUACAUGUGAUGCUCUAUCGAUCGAUACGCUGGCAAGCCGUCGAUCUAUUCUAGUUCAGAACUCAUGGACCUUCGAUAUUUUUCUCUUUAC
rnacentral:lncRNA from 1 species